CCCUGCUGACUGACUGCUCAGCUCUUACUGCUGUUACUGACAGAAAGAGGGUGUGGACUUAACUGGCUGGUUAAACAUUCCACUGCCUAAAUACAGAACCCUUCCUUUCUCUCAUUCAACAGCAACUGACUCAGACCACAGAGGAAAGUUACGGGAUACCAUAACACCAUGGCUCCCCAGUUGUUGCCCUUGUUGUCUCUGGUCUCAACUCUCUACCUGGUGGCCCAGGGACAGGAGCAGCCUCAACCCAUACAGGAGGAACCCAUCACAGCGA